GCCGCCCGGAGGCGGGCGGGGCGCUGCCGCGUUCCGCCCUCCGCGGAGCCUCGCCGGGCCCCGCCGAAACCUCGGGCGGCGGCACCGGCUGGGGAGGAGGAGGAGGAAGAGCAGAAGGAGCGCCCGGUCCUGCCCCGCCGCCCGCUUCUCUUCCGGCGGCCUCAGGUUGGUGUGAACAUCUCAAAGAUUUGGUGUCAAGAAUCAUACCUGACUGGGUUGUACUGACUCUGCUGCACAAAUUUCAAAAUGAUCAAGCAGACCACAAUGGAGUGAAGAAAUGCUACUUUUGCUGAUGAAUUCUGUGGCCUGUAAUAAACACAGCGAAGACUUCCAAAGACAGCUUUUUUUUCUUGAUAAAGUGAUGAUCAGAGCUCCUUUUUGUUUGCUGCUCGUGCUUCUGGGAGUGCUGUUUGGAUUUUGUGGUCUAUUGCCAGUUGAGGGUUACAUCUCUCUUGUGGUGUCAGAAUGCCAAAUCUCCAAAAAGCAAUGA